CUCCAUCUUGGUGGAAGUCUGGAAGAGCAUAUUCUUGUUUAUUGGCAAAGCUGUCAGCAUUUAAUUGGUAUCAGAUUAUGACUUGCACAAGUAACAUUC